rnacentral:rRNA from 1 species
AAGGAUCAUUAAUAAUGCUCUCUGGCUUCGGUCAGCUGAGUUCAAUGAGUGCCUUCUCUUCGGAGUUGGCCAUCCACACACACCGUGAACUGUGGCUUCGGCCAUCACAAACUGUUAGUAAUGAAUGUAAUAUCAUAACAAAAACAAAACUUUUAACAACGGAUCUCUUGGCUCUCGCAUCGAUGAAGAACGCAGCGAAAUGCGAUAAGUAAUGUGAAUUGCAGAAUUCAGUGAAUCAUCGAAUCUUUGAACGCACCUUGCGCCCUUUGGUAUUCCGAAGGGCAUGCCUGUUUGAGUGUCAUGAAACCUCACCCCACUUGGGUUUUUGCCUGAGCGGUGGUGUAUUGGGUGUUGCCUUGCCAAAGGCUCGCCUUAAAAACAUAAGCACCUUGGAUGUAAUACGUUUCAUCCUUUCGGGUGGCUGAUAACCCCACAUAUUCAUGAUCUGGCCUCAAAUCAGGUAGGGCUACCCGCUGAACUUAA